rnacentral:lncRNA from 1 species
CGUUUUUCUUUAAUCCCUAGUCACUUUUAUCUUAACCUAAAUAUUGCAAACCACACAGGGUUAAUAUAAUGAAGCUGUUCUAGUACUAGGAUACAAAUCGUUGUACAAGCCAGGCUCGUUUACAGCCUUCAAGUGCUGCUAUUAGGGCACGUACAACCCAUAAACAACUGCCGUCUUUUUUGCACCACGCAAACAAACUCGUCCAACAUGUGCAUCAUUAAAUGAGGGAAGAUAAUACUGCCGUCGUCUCGUUCGUCGUUGGCGUGGGCUUGUGCUCCAAAGUUACAGCGACGCUCAUCCUCCCGUUGUACGCGUCAUUGUGAGAUGCCGCCGGAUCCGGUGCUCCAGGCAUCAUCCCUACCUUCUCAACCGCAGAGCUGUGGGAAUAAGCAGGCCUGCAUGCAUGCGCGUAGACCAACGAAGCAUGGUUUGCUAGUUGGUGGGUGUUUCUUUGGGAUUUCAAACUUCAAACUAUUUUUUCUCCCAAACCGUAAAUUCAUUUUUGAAUCCGUUUGAACUACUAUCUUGCUGAGAAUUAAUGUAACAUAAUGAGAUCCAAUAUGAAUAUAUUUUACCACUUUUUAAAAAUCAACAUUUUGGAUAGUCUAUCUCAACAUUUUUUAUCAAAUAUUAAAAUAGUUUAUUCGAAAUGUUGAAUGAAUCUAAUAUUUAAAAUGUUGAGUACAUUAGUUUGAUAUUUUGAAUAUACGAGGCCACAACAAAAUGGUAUACAAAGAACAAAUUUAUACUUGAUCACCAUAGUUUUAUGUGUUUAUUGAUGAAUUAAAUACUUUGCAGACAACUCAAUAGACAGACCAUUGUAUGACUUGUCUGUUUUAUUGUCUAUAUGUGACAUGGCAUUUUUCGCAGACAACAGCUAUCUAAACUGUUGUACGUGACCUUAUGCCUCUGCCGGUGGUACGAGCGACCUAACCAAACCGACCAUUUACUAGUGCAAUUUUAAGGCUUUGUUUCGUCUGCUCAAAUGAAACUUGAACGAACAAUCUUUGUCUCUAGUGAGAGAAAGUUGGUAAUACGUAUUUAAAGGGUGUUUGAUACAAGGUGCUAAACUUUAAUAGGGUCACAUCGGAUGUUCGGAUGCUAAUUAGGAGGAUUAAACUUGAGAUAAUUACAAAACUAAUUGUACAGAUGGAGUCUAAUUCGCGAAACGAAUCUAUUAAGGCUAAUUAAUCCAUCAUUAGCAAAUGGUUACUGUAGCACCAUAUUGUCAAAUCAUGGACUAAUUAGGCUUAAUAGAUUGGUGUCGCGAAUUAGACUCCAUCUAUGCAAUUAGUUUUGUACUUAAACUACGUUUAAUACUCCUAAUUAGUAUCAAAUAUCCAAUGUGACAGGUGCUAAAAUUUAGCAGGGUGUUUUCAAACAGGCUCUAAGGGCAAGUACAUUGGUGUCGUCUAAUAAGCGGUCUCAUGCAUUGACACGUAAUCUUGAGACAAUUUAACAGGCAACUUGUACAAUGGGUUGUCCUAUAAGUUGUCUGGUAGUGGUAUAUAAUUUCUUAAUUUGUGCAUAAGAAAAAUAAAAUAUUAUGAGUUGCAUGGCAACAAUAACUCGUACAAUGGUGGUUAAGUUGUCUCGUAGUCCUACAAUUUAGCUCAUGAGGUGGUUGUUUCACGAAGCAACGAUCUCUUUCUCUCUCCUCUCUCUCUCCUCCACAUCAUCAAAAAUCCUACAUGGCACUGCAUGAGACGAACUAUGAGACCGUUGACGUGUAGUAAUAUACUUGCCCUAAAUUCAUUUCAGAACUCCGCGUGUCGUAUUGCAACGUUAAUGAACGACCUACUCGUUAUUAUAAAAAAAAAUAGAAAAAUGAACGACCGAAGAAGUGGCUACCCUAUCAGCUACUACUGGUAUUUUCGGAAUUGGGAAGGGUGCAUGCAAGAAUGCAGUAUUUAAACCAAUGUCUGCGCACCAAAAAAAAAAGAGCGAGUUCAAUGCAGCCGGCAGGGAUGACCAGAUGGAGGCUGAAGUAAAGGAUCUCAUCAGUUACUGACUAGGUACUGCAUCUGUUUUUAUUUUCCCUUGCCUUGUGGUGCAGGAUAUGUGGUCGUCAGAUAGUAGUGCUUUGGUGAGAUGCAGAAGGCAUGAGAGAAGUACUGCAUUCAAUGAACGUGCCAAGACUCAUCCAACGGACUUCUCCCACAGGCUUGCCAAACGGCUAACGUCAAAACGGCUCACAGGCGAAAGCCGAGCGAAUCCCGAUCUCUGCGUUAGGGCAUAUUUGGUUUAAGUGCUUAUAUUAUAAGCAACUUAAAGUUACUUAUUUGGAGUUGCUUAUUUUUAGUUCAGUUAUUUGGAUACCCUUACUUAUAAGCAUUGAAUGAGGUGGAUAUUGUCAUGUUUGCCCCUAAUCAUUGAGAGAGAGAGGGAGGGCCGCCAGGCAUUUGGUGUAAAGUGCAUUGAAUAGUCCCCAUAUGCAACCAUAAGCAACCAAGAGUUGCUUAGGGCAGUCCUAAUGGGACAUUGAUGAUAGUUUCUAUCCCUCUUAAUUAUCAUGCCAACGAAGCAAUUUGCUGAUGUGGCAGUAGAUUUAUUAUGGAGAGAGAGAAACCAUUUCUUAGAGAGGAAACCAAGUCCUCACACGCACCAAUGAGCCAAGAAAUCAGUGAUUCAGCAUUGGGGAGACCCAAGUAGUUUCUUCUUAAUUACUGCAGGAUCCUUUGCGCUUACACCGCUACUACUCAUCACUCGAGCUCCUUUACAUGAUGUACAGAGGAUCUGGUACUAGAAAGGAGAAUCAUUGGUUGGAUUUUUAUUUAGACUCUAGAUAAAAAAGUUGCAUUGUGAAGGAUGAUUUCUUGAUACAAUAUCCUAGAUUAUGGAAACAAGGAUAUUAUGGAAACUAGGUUGGUUUCUCCCAUUGGGACUGCCCUUAUUUGCUUAUAAUAAGCAAUCCCAUAAGCAAGAGUGAUUGGUUUCAUAAGCAACUUAUUUACUUAUUUUAAGUUGAUUAUGCAUAAGCAUGGGAAACAAACAGGCCCUUCCUCCGCUAAGGAGAAGCAAAGAAAAAAAAACGGCCCUUCCUCCACUAAGGAGAAGCAAAGAAAAAAAACGGCUCUACCGGCUCGUUCCCCACCAAAACGCUAAAAGACGCAUGUGCCCCUACUGUUUCAUGGAAAUUACCUUACCUGCCACUCAAGCUGCGAGCUCGGCAGGCGCGUGGAGGUGACGGUCGAGUGCUCGGGGCGGUUGGGCGGAGCUCCACGGGCGCGUGCGCUGUGGCGGCGGUUGGGACAGAGGUCGGCGGCAGAGGGGGUGGAGGCGUGGAGCUGGGCGGGCGCGUGGAGGCAGCGGCCGGGAGUCCGGGACCGAGCUCGGCGGGCGCGCGGAGAUGGCGGCCUGGGUGGAGGUCAACGGGCGGGUGCGCAGAGCUGGAGGCCAGGGUGGGGCUCGAUGGCGCGCGACUAGCAGGGCACCGAUUCGAGAUGCUGCCGCGCUGGAACUGAGCGGUGGAGAGAAUAAUGGGCGGCGGAGAAAAAAUCUGGAAGAAAGAGGACGUAUG